rnacentral:rRNA from 1 species
GACGAACGCUGGCGGCGUGCUUAACACAUGCAAGUCGAACGCUGAUGGCCCAGCUUGCUGGGUUGGAUGAGUGGCGAACGGGUGAGUAACACGUGAGUAACCUGCCCUCUUCUUUGGGAUAACGGUCGGAAACGGCUGCUAAUACCGGGUAUUCACUGUCCUUCGCAUGGGGGGUGGUGGAAAGGUUUUUUUCUGGUGGGGGAUGGGCUCGCGGCCUAUCAGCUUGUUGGUGGGGUGAUGGCUUACCAAGGCUUUGACGGGUAACCGGCCUGAGAGGGUGACCGGUCACAUUGGGACUGAGAUACGGCCCAGACUCCUACGGGAGGCAGCAGUGGGGAAUAUUGCACAAUGGGCGAAAGCCUGAUGCAGCGACGCCGCGUGAGGGAUGGAGGCCUUCGGGUUGUAAACCUCUUUCGCUCAUGGUCAAGCCGCAACUGUGGUUGUGGUGAGGGUAGUGGGUAAAGAAGCACCGGCUAACUACGUGCCAGCAGCCGGNNGUAAUACGUAGG